ensembl:lncRNA
GUGAACAACAGGUAAACAUAUGAAUAAAGGAACAUUGUGAAUAACAAUAAAACACUACCUUGCUGAAUCCUGCUGUGAGCGUCUAUAAGAGACUCUUCUUGCUAUUCCUAUUCCUACGAUCAGCAGACCUACUGAACCAAGAGAUGCAUAUUUAAGAUACUGAACUGCAACACCAUACAAUUUUGAUCUCACCUUAUUGUUGGCAUUUGAAAGACAAACAUUUAAACCAUGAGCAGAGGACUGAAGAGCAAAAGUUGGUUGGAUUAGUAGCAAAAAGACAACCAAUAACUUAUCAUGGCAGGCAGAGGUGAAAUGAAUGGCGAGAGAAAGAUUGACAGCUGCAUGCAAAGCAAAAGAAACUUGACCUAAGCGUCAUCAAAAGUAGAUUUCAGAACUUACAAAUUACACCUUCAACAAUUAAUCCAUAACGCCCCCUUGUGGGGACUUGUGAUGUAGCGUUGACUAGAGGAAAGGCAGUGGUCAGCGAUGGACGAUGAAAUCCUGUUGAGGUCAAUAAAAUCCGUUGGCAACAUGAUAAAGUGGUAAAGUGUAUCUGCACAAAAACUCACCACGGUGAAGAGAAGCACAGAUGCUGCUGUUGUCUAGUAGAGGAAACAAGAGAAAUGUCACUUGUAUACAAGACAGAAUUGCAUCAGUCAUUGGACAACAGAAAAUAUAUUAAAUUAUGUGAAAUUCUAAAUGAUCGUCAAUAUAUAUCAGACAGAUACAUUUCAAUAGGAAUAAAUUAAAUCCCAGAAUCUAAUCAAGGUUGUUUUGUGUUGCAUCUUGUGAAAAAUGCACCAAAAGUAAGCAAAAGGUGUCCACAGAGACAUUAAACGACCACUAUUUGGUUGUAAAAGUUUACCAAUGUGGAGUAAAAGAACUUCCCUCCAAUGCAAAAUUAUUAACAAAUAACACGCCGAGCUGCAGUGAUGAAGCAACAACAAAGCGGACAGCAGCAGAAAAUGGCUAACUUUGCACGUAGGGGGAAUGACUGAGAGACGACCAUAAUAUAUGUCAUCCUUUGGAAAGCACAUGUAAGCACCUGUACAUUUUCCCGACUCAAUAAGACCGUCUUUCCCUUCAAAAUCACAGCCAGCAUCUGAAUCGGUGGAGGCCCGGUACAGUUCGGGAUGGGACCAUCACUGAGGAGCGACUCGUCGUUGCAAAACACGUGGGUCACAUUAGAGCCACAUCCUGGAAUACUGCAGAAAAAGAGCUGUGCCGAUUUGUUUCCGCCUGUAAAAUACAGUAUCUGUUAAAUAUCUCAUAAACUUGUUUUUUGUUUUUAUCAUGAGUGGUGCAAACAACAGAAGACAUGUCUUGACUUGCUGUUACUGGAAAGCACUGAGCAGCAAACAGCAGCAUCAAGGUGAACCCUGUCAGGACAAACGUACAAACUGAGCUAAAGGGUCCCUAAAAGUUCAAUACUAAAUAGUUUUAAAUUGUCAAAAACUUACCAUUCAUGUUCGGAUAGCAAUUCCUGUUGGAGAAAAGAUUUCCUUGUCAGAAACACAAUCAUACAGUAUUUCAAAUGAUUCUAUAUGCUGGCGCCUCCGCGUCCGUACCACACUGCCGUAAACAAAAGUCUAGUGGACCAUCAGCCAAAAACAUCCACGUCACACGACGAAUCAAUUUGCAUCCCUUUUCAUUCACAAAAGUAGGAAACGCAGUAAAGCAGUGCGGCUCCACACAAAGCGCAGGAUGCACUCAACAAAGUGUUAACAAGUUAACUCGGAAUAAAUGUCACAAAAAUAUCUGCCCAGUGUUAAAUACAUUACAUGUCAUUUAGCUGACGCUUUUAUCCAUUUUAGCCCGGGGAGCAAUUAGGGGUAAGGUGUCUUGCUCAGGGACACCUCAACAUAGGACAUGUAGCAGCCGGGAUUUGAACCGCCGACCUUGCGGAUCCCGGCUCUCCCCCACUAUUACAUAUGGCGUUAUAUUUGUGCCACAAUCCUGAGCGCGUAAUUGUAAAUUUUGAGCACAGAGAACUAUGUUGUAGCAAAGAAAAACAUCCCGUGCGCGCAGUUUACUCAGGUGCCCUCGCCACAAACUGGUUUUCUGCGCGCAGGCAGCCGUUGCUGCGCUCUCUCUCUCCACCUCUUCACGCUGCGCUCGCUCGACGUUUCACUCACGCGCUCGCUCGACUUGCAGCAGCGUUACAUUUGUGCCACAAAACCAACCAAUCAGAGAAUUAAAGAAGGUCCAUUGUGAUUGGCUGUUGGUCUCCAAUCACAACGCUUCCUAAAGAAGACGAAAAAAAGUGAUAUUAGAAGUCCGGCUAGCCACCAUCAGACAUGACCGAAGCAAAUCAUGAGAACAGCAAGUGUUUUAAUCCAGGCCAUUAGCAUUUAGCACAAAUGCUGCAAACUUCAACAACUCGCUGAGCUUCCGCGAUGCUGUAGGUAGUUCUACUAGCGUUGUGAUUUACAUUUACAAUUACGCGCUCAGGAUUGUGGCACAAAUAUAACGCCAUACCACAGUACGUAGAGUGUGACACUGGACAGUUACAUUUCAAACCGAUCACACAGUUAAUAUAAUCCUACCGAGUGUCGCAAAUGAAUCUGAUCUUGACACUGAAUAAUGACUCCGGCUCUUUCGUACAAUUGACUCUGUAAGAGUUUAAUCAACUUGUUGUACCGCAAAAUGAACUCUAAGAAUUUUGCCGUGUAGCCUACAUGUUGACUGUGUGUCACUGCGGAGUUUUAAAAUCAAUGGAAUGGAAUGACUCUCAACAAGUACAACAAAAUAAAAUCCAAAUGCACCAACAACUACAGCCGUCAAAAUAUCCCUACACAACUUCUAGCACACAACCGUGACGAAGGGCAGGACCAUUGCAUCGGAAUUUAAUAGUUUCAUCGUUGCCCGAAUGAACCUCAGCCUCCCUGCAGCAUGUUUAUGGAAGCUGCUCGUAAACAGGUUAUGCACUUGUAUGCGCACACGCAUUGUACUUAUGUUGAGAUAACACAGAUCGGGACCGGGUAGAUCUUUAAUUAGACGUACCUGAACACGCUGAGAUCCAACAACGCCACUUGUUAUUCUGACGUCCGGCUUAGUCCACUCAUCCACACCGGCAGCGACAGGUAGCGCAGCCCGGCGAAGUCAGCGGUAUACUCACAGAUUCGGACUCCACGGUUCGAUUCUCUCGUCAGCAAAACGCUGUUAAAACACAAACGAAGCCUCUCUGUAACUGUAGUGAUGUCGACGACCAGCUACGACUCUAAUUAACCAUCAUUUUACCAAUACGGACCAGUCCGGGAGCUGCACAGUCAAGCGCGCCGCCGUUAGACGAGUUAGUGUGUGUGUGCCGGAAGUAGGAAAGAGCGUUCAACGUUUUGAAGUAAAAAAAAA